GACGAACGCUGGCGGCGUGCUUAACACAUGCAAGUCGAACGGAAAGGCCCUGCUUUUGUGGGGUGCUCGAGUGGCGAACGGGUGAGUAACACGUGAGUAACCUGCCCUUGACUUUGGGAUAACUUCAGGAAACUGGGGCUAAUACCGGAUAGGAGCUCCUGCUGCAUGGUGGGGGUUGGAAAGUUUCGGCGGUUGGGGAUGGACUCGCGGCUUAUCAGCUUGUUGGUGGGGUAGUGGCUUACCAAGGCUUUGACGGGUAGCCGGCCUGGGAGGGUGACCAGCCACAUUGGGACUGAGAUACGGCGCAGACUCCUACGGGAGGCAGCAGUGGGGAAUAUUGCACAAUGGGCGGAAGCCUGAUGCAGCAACGCCGCGUGCGGGAUGACGGCCUUCGGGUUGUAAACCGCUUUCGCCUGUGACGAAGCGUGAGUGACGGUAAUGGGUAAAGAAGCACCGGCUAACUACGUG
rnacentral:rRNA from 1 species